rnacentral:pre_miRNA from 1 species
CUAGUACUCCCUCCGUCCGAAAAUACUUGUCAUCAAAAUGGACAAAAAGGGAUGUAUCUAGAACUAAAAUACAUCUAGAUACAUCCCAUUUUAUUUAUUUUGAUGACAAGUAUUUCCGGACGGAGGGAGUACUAC